UACGUAGGGACCAAGCGUUGUUCGGAUUUACUGGGCGUAAAGGGCGCGUAGGCGGCAAUUCAAGUCAGCUGUGAAAUCUCCGAGCUUAACUCGGAACGGUCAGCUGAUACUGUUUUGCUAGAGUGCAGAAAGGGCAACCGGAAUUCUUGGUGUAGCGGUGAAAUGCGUAGAUAUCAAGAGGAACACCUGAGGCGAAGGCGGGUUGCUGGGCUGACACUGACGCUGGAGGCGCGAAAGCCUAGGGGAGCGAACGGG
rnacentral:rRNA from 1 species